UGCAAUUAUAUCUUUUCGAUGCAAAUGAAGGAAAGUUUGGAAAAGUCAAACUUGGCACUGAAACAGAGCCUCUUUAUUGAGCUAAGGGGCCAUGGCUUCCCCGGAGACAUGUUGAAAUCUAGAGUCCCUGAAAUGCGAUUUCAAACAUUUUUGGGGUGAGUUUUUGCAGAAUUUCGAAGAUAUAAAGUACAUCAAAAGACUUAAUCAUUUUAUGAUCUCACAAACGUACCUUUCUCUACAGAUUUAGACUUUUUGAGACUGGCUUAGCACCCAUCUGAUUGGUCAAUUACAUAUAUCAAACGCAUCUGAUUGGUUAAUGAUAGUGGGAGCGGUAGUGGAAGUCUUUUAACCCUUUCUAAUAUUUUAGACAGAAGGGACUUUAACUGGGGGCCAACAUUAGGGCUGGGGGAUGGGGGUGGGGGCUUGGCCAGGGCAAAUUCACAUGCGGAUACGAUCAAACGCGCUUUAAAUCAAGUAUUACGCUAGUCUACCUAAUCUUUUACAACAAUUAUGAUGUUACUUUCUGUGGUGGUUAUCCUAACCACCCUGUCAACUUUCUCUGUGGGAGAUGAUCGAGGAAACCAGAGCACCCUGAGAAAACCUACGAGCAUAUCCACACCGGGCAAGCUUGAAAAAUAUGCCUGGCCACGGUGGGAAGCAUCCACCCUGGCCAGGCAUAUUUUUCAAGCUUGCCCGGUAUGGAUAUGCACUCAGAGUAACAUCACAAGCAUCAUAUUCACCUGAGUACAAUACACCAACACAGAAAAAAUCAAAACCUACGAGCGUUGACUUAUUCUAUUUUACAUGAUUAGCAACGAGAGAAUCGAGCCCAUGAUCUUGUAGGUGAGUUGAUAAUUGAUAUGUUUGUAAAUAUUGAUCUGUUAACAUUGAGAAUAUUCGAAUGUACUGGGAAUAUAAAUGUGAAUUAAGUGCACUAUGGAAUUAAGCUUGGUGGCUGGUUCCUAGUCACGUCACUGGUAAUUUUGUCGGCGAUUUUGUGUUUCUGACGGAUGCAAAUGAGUGAACUCGCACACAAAAGUAUAGAGUCGCUUUUCAGAAGUAAACAAUUCUAAGUCUUUUGAACCGGGCUUUAACCUUCGUUCGUCAUGGGUCAGAGCACUGCGCCAAAAUCCCACGCCUGGCGUCGUCUAUCUGGCGCGGCCUUUCACUUCGAAUGUACUGGAUCAAAACAACUGGAUCAAGAAAUCCAAAACAACUGGAUCAAGAAAUCCAAAACAACUGGAUCAAGAAAGUGUGGCCCUUAUUUUGACUUGCAACAAGUCGUCUUGCACUGUAACUUGUCUCACAUUGUAACAAGUGGGCGAGCUUGAACUCUCGAGGGCACUUUUUUCAAGAAAUUUGACUUAGCUGCCCAGCUAAACUACGAGGCGACUUUGCUCGCAGGGUAGACGGACGGACCAAGAAACAGUUUCCAAUUUUUUAGCGUACAUAUUGUCUAGUUAUAUACUCCCUUAACUUGAAGGCUCAAUCAUUCUGUGACUUCGUUGUCUUAUAUAGUUCGUUUUACAUUAUUCAUUAGCUUUUCUGUAAUUGUUUAUGUAUUAUUACUUAGUAGUAGGGGGUACUAGCCACCAAUCAUCCGUAAUUCAGUGAUAAAGUAAUUAAAACAAAACAAAACAAAACAAAACAAAACAAAACAAAACAAAACAAAACAAAGCAAAGCCGAAAGCAAAGCAAAACAAAACAAAACAAAACAAAACAAAACAAAACUUGUAGGGGCUUCACUGGCUUCGGUGGCGCAAUCGCCAGAACUCAUGUAUAAGAAGAGUCAGUGGAACGUCGUGGGUUUUCUUAGGGCACUAGCCUGACAUGGUUGGAUUAGGAUAAACAUAUCUACCGACCAUGCAACUCAAUAAUUUACCGAUCAAUUUACCGACAAUCGCGUUUUUUUCUACAUAAUAGGGAGAAUAAACAACACUGACGUCAGAUUGCCGAGAAUGAACUGGUUUAAAAACUGUGUUUUUCUUCAACAUAUCUAGAAUCUGUCCUGACGAUGACUAAAAUAUAAUCGAAACGUAGAUUCAUUAAAGCGACAAAAUGUUAUUCGGAGUUACUGUAUCUUUUGUAUUUUAUAAAAAUACUCAGUAGGUUCCCGUAACUUCAACACAUGUGACAAAAGAUACGAUCUUUAAAAUUUUUUGCUUCCUUGACACGAGGCUACGAGCGCUAUGAUAUAUGCUGGGUUUGGUGGAAAGUUAUCCACCAUUCCAGUUCAACCAAUUCGUCUUACUUCGUUAUUUGAAGUUUGAACUCUUUAUUAACGAAAGCUCUAUACCACUUUUCAUCUGAAUAAAAACAUACUGGCUGUAACUGUGUUGACAAUAUAAACCUCUUUCAAACACAAAAUUUUACCGCCAAGGUUUUUUCGGCGAUAUUUGACUAUUAGUUAAUUUAUACAUAGCGUACCUAUAAACAAGCCUUAUUAAACGGCAUUUAUAUGUAACUAAACAAGAAUUAUUAUUACACAUCUUAUACGAUCAAUAUUUACUAUCCCUAAUAGCUUUAGUUUCCUGUGGAUAAGUACACGUGUUAUAAUCGAAGUACAUGUUUGAAUAACGCAAUAUGCAC